rnacentral:rRNA from 1 species
UACAUGGGGUGCAAACGUUGCUCGGAAUUAUUGGGCGUAAAGCGCACGUAGGCGGUUUGUUAAGUCGGAUGUGAAAUCCCUCGGCUCAACUGAGGAAGUGCAUCCGAAACUGGCAGGCUUGAGUACUAAAGAGGGUCGCGGAAUUCCUGGUGUAGCGGUGAAAUGCGCAGAUAUCAGGAGGAACACCGAUGGCGAAGGCAGGUCUCUGGGCCGAUACUGACGCUGAGGAGCGAAAGCGUGGGGAGCGAACAGG